rnacentral:rRNA from 1 species
AUUGAACGCUGGCGGCAGGCCUAACACAUGCAAGUCGAGCGGUUGAAGGUAGCUUGCUACCUGAUGCAGCGGACGAACGGGUGAGUAAUGCAUGGGAAUCUGCCGUGGUAGGUGGGGACAACGUCUACGAAAGGGACGCUAAUACCGCAUACGCCCGUACGGGGAAGGGGGGGAUCUUCGGACCUCUCGCUAUCAGAUGAGCCCAUGUCAGAUUAGCUUGUUGGUGAGGUAAAGGCUCACCAAGGCGACGAUCUGUAACUGGUCUGAGAGGAUGAUCAGUCACACUGGAACUGAGACACGGUCCAGACUCCUACGGGAGGCAGCAGUGGGGAAUCUUCCGCAAUGGGCGAAAGCCUGACGGAGCAACGCCGCGUGAGUGAUGACGGCCUUCGGGUUGUAAAACUCUGUGAUCCGGGACGAAAAGGCAGAGUGCGAAGAACAAACUGCAUUGACGGUACCGGAAAAGCAAGCCACGGCUAACUACGUG